UAAAGCGGUACUCGCAACUGGUCUCCCGCGCGGGAGCGGGGGUGGGGCAGGCCCGGGGGUGGAAGGCCACUUGGGGACCUGAGCCCCCUCAGGGCGGAACACUAGGGUGUUGGGAACUGAAAUCCGAUCGUUGGGAAUAAGGGGCAAAGCAUCCCACCUGCCACUAGACCCGCGCGCUGGAGGGGCCGCUCAACUUUGCCAGCCUGGUCCUGCGAAGAUCUGGAGCAAGUUCUCUGACCCCGGGAAGGAUUCUUCUGCCCUCAUUUCUUCUCCGCCUUCGCCGGCAGGCUUAGUUUCAGCAUUGAGGACAGCACCCUUUUCGUUUAAUCCUUUAAGUACCGCGGACAGCGCCUCGGGGGCGCUUAGAUGCCAGGGUUCAGCACAGUGGACAGACAUCCCACUUCCCGUGCAGCACCGCAGGGAUCCAGCCUCCAGCACAGCGCACGGUACCUAAAGUUUGAGAGACCUAAGAAGCGGAGUGACACACCGUGCUCGCUGCCUUUAUUCUGUCAUCCGGUGCCCCUUUCAGAUAUUGUGGUGGAUAGCAUACUGUUGUCACCAGGAUCAAUUCAGUGUCCCUCCCUGCCAGGUGUUGUACUUUCGAAGCACAAAUUCAGCACCACGGACAUCUCCAACAAAAGCACUUUCAGCACCACAGACAGGUCCCCUUGGAGGAUCAGCCAGCAGUGCAGAGGCUGACACCCAGGACUCUUUAAACAGCUCCUAUCCUUUCCGGAACACUGUGGUGGCAGAACCGGGGCUCGGUCCUGAACUCUCUCUUAAAACGCAGAUUGGAAACAAAUGUGAAGAGAGGCAGACAGAGAGAAAGACAGAGGGACAGAGACUGAAUGAGACUGGAGGGAAGAGCACAGCAAAGAGACAAAAAGUCUCAGGUCUUUCAAGGACAGCCUCUAAGAACUAUACAUGUCCCAUCACUGUCAGCUAUGAAUAAGGGAACUGAGACCCAGAAAGGUUGAACCUGUUGCCUAAAACAAGGCAAUGCUAAGAGAGUGCUGGUCCGAGCUGUGGAGUCCAGACUCUCGGGCAUAUAUCUGAGCAGCUUUAACGCAACCCUUCUCAUUACAGCUUAGGAAGGCAAGAACCAGGGAGGGCUUUCCUGAACAAGGUCCAAGUCCUCUGUCUUCCCGUCUCAGGGAUCUCCCAUAAUAUUCUCCAGCUCCACUUGUAUCCCUUACAGCACCUACUCAAACAACACUGUACAGUUUAUACACCGUAUUCAUAUCUGUGACUCCUGAGGCAGGAGAACCUGGCAUGUCCCCAUUUCUUCUCCUUUAAUUAAAAUGUCUAAAUUACUGCC